GAUGAACGCUGGCGGCGUGCCUAAUACAUGCAAGUCGAGCGAACAGACGAGGAGCUUGCUCCUCUGACGUUAGCGGCGGACGGGUGAGUAACACGUGGAUAACCUACCUAUAAGACUGGGAUAACUUCGGGAAACCGGAGCUAAUACCGGAUAAUAUAUUGAACCGCAUGGUUCAAUAGUGAAAGACGGUUUUGCUGUCACUUAUAGAUGGAUCCGCGCCGCAUUAGCUAGUUGGUAAGGUAACGGCUUACCAAGGCAACGAUGCGUAGCCGACCUGUGAGGGGGGAUGGGCCAAAUGGAAAUUAGAACAGGUCCAGGAUCCGAAGGGAGGGCGCAGUAGGGAAACUUCCGCAAUGGGGGAAAGCCUGGAGGGGCAACGCCGCGGGAGUGAUGAAGGUCUUCGGAUCGUAAAACUCUGUUAUUAGGGAAGAAAAAAUGUGUAAGUAAAUAUGGACGGUUUGAGGGUACCUAAUAAAAAAGCCCAGGGUAAAUACGUG
rnacentral:rRNA from 1 species